rnacentral:rRNA from 1 species
GAUCCGGUUAAGUGGUCGGCCGCAAGGUCUGUACUGCUUUGGCUGGAUCUUUCCUUCUGGAGAGCCAGCAUGCCCUUUAUUGAGUGUGUUGGGGAUCCAGGACUUUUACUUUGAAAAAAUUAGAGUGUUUAAAGCAGGCAUUUGCUUGAAUACAUUAGCAUGGAAUAAUAGAAUAGGACUUUGGUUCUAUUUUGUUGGUUUCUAGGACCGAAGUA